rnacentral:rRNA from 1 species
GACGAACGCUGGCGGCGUGCCUAAUACAUGCAAGUAGAACGCUGAAGAGAAGAGCUUGCUCUUCUUGGAUGAGUUGCGAACGGGUGAGUAACGCGUAGGUAACCUGCCUUGUAGCGGGGGAUAACUAUUGGAAACGAUAGCUAAUACCGCAUAACAAUGGAUGACCCAUGUCAUUUAUUUGAAAGGGGCAAAUGCUCCACUACAAGAUGGACCUGCGUUGUAUUAGCUAGUAGGUGAGGUAACGGCUCACCUAGGCGACGAUACAUAGCCGACCUGAGAGGGUGAUCGGCCACACUGGGACUGAGACACGGCCCAGACUCCUACGGGAGGCAGCAGUAGGGAAUCUUCGGCAAUGGGGGCAACCCUGACCGAGCAACGCCGCGUGAGUGAAGAAGGGUUUCGGAUCAUAAAGCUCUGUUGUAAGUCAAGAACGAGUGUGAGAGUGGAAAGUUCACACUGUGACGGUAGCUUACCAGAAAGGGACGGCUAACUACGUG